rnacentral:rRNA from 1 species
AUGAACGCUAGCUACAGGCUUAACACAUGCAAGUCGAGGGGCAGCAUUUUAGUUUGCUUGCAAACUAAAGAUGGCGACCGGCGCACGGGUGAGUAACACGUAUCCAACCUGCCGAUAACUCGGGGAUAGCCUUUCGAAAGAAAGAUUAAUAUCCGAUAGUAUAUUAAAACCGCAUGGUUUUACUAUUAAAGAAUUUCGGUUAUCGAUGGGGAUGCGUUCCAUUAGUUUGUUGGCGGGGUAACGGCCCACCAAGACUACGAUGGAUAGGGGUUCUGAGAGGAAGGUCCCCCACAUUGGAACUGAGACACGGUCCAAACUCCUACGGGAGGCAGCAGUGAGGAAUAUUGGUCAAUGGACGAGAGUCUGAACCAGCCAAGUAGCGUGAAGGAUGACUGCCCUAUGGGUUGUAAACUUCUUUUAUAUGGGAAUAAAGUAUUCCACGUGUGGAAUUUUGUAUGUACCAUAUGAAUAAGGAUCGGCUAACUCCGUGCCAGCAGCCGCGGUAAUACGGAGGAUCCGAGCGUUAUCCGGAUUUAUUGGGUUUAAAGGGAGCGUAGGUGGAUUGUUAAGUCAGUUGUGAAAGUUUGCGGCUCAACCGUAAAAUUGCAGUUGAAACUGGCAGUCUUGAGUACAGUAGAGGUGGGCGGAAUUCGUGGUGUAGCGGUGAAAUGCUUAGAUAUCACGAAGAACUCCGAUUGCGAAGGCAGCUCACUAGACUGCAACUGACACUGAUGCUCGAAAGUGUGGGUAUCAAACAGGAUUAGAUACCCUGGUAGUCCACACAGUAAACGAUGAAUACUCGCUGUUUGCGAUAUACAGUAAGCGGCCAAGCGAAAGCGUUAAGUAUUCCACCUGGGGAGUACGCCGGCAACGGUGAAACUCAAAGGAAUUGACGGGGGCCCGCACAAGCAGUGGAGUAUGUGGUUUAAUUCGACGCAACGCGAAGAACCUUACCAAGGCUUGACAUUGAUUGAACGCUCUAGAGAUAGAGAUUUCCCUUCGGGGACAAGAAAACAGGUGGUGCAUGGCUGUCGUCAGCUCGUGUCGUGAGAUGUUGGGUUAAGUCCCGCAACGAGCGCAACCCUUAUCUUUAGUUACUAACAGGUCAUGCUGAGGACUCUAGAGAGACUGCCGUCGUAAGAUGUGAGGAAGGUGGGGAUGACGUCAAAUCAGCACGGCCCUUACGUCCGGGGCUACACACGUGUUACAAUGGGGGGUACAGAAGGCAGCUACCUGGCGACAGGAUGCUAAUCCCAAAAACCUCUCUCAGUUCGGAUCGAAGUCUGCAACCCGACUUCGUGAAGCUGGAUUCGCUAGUAAUCGCGCAUCAGCCAUGGCGCGGUGAAUACGUUCCCGGGCCUUGUACACACCGCCCGUCACACCAUGGGAGUCGGAAAUGCCCGAAGCCAGUGACCCAACUGCAAAGAGGGAGCUGUCGAAGGCAGGUCUGAUAACUGGGGUG